CGUAAAGAGCUCGUAGGUGGUUUGUCGCGUUGUUCGUGAAAUCUCACGGCUUAACUGUGAGCGUGCGGGCGAUACGGGCAGACUUGAGUACUGCAGGGGAGACUGGAAUUCCUGGUGUAGCGGUGGAAUGCGCAGAUAUCAGGAGGAACACCGGUGGCGAAGGCGGGUCUCUGGGCAGUAACUGACGCUGAGGAGCGAAAGCGUGGGGAGCGAACAGGAUUAGAUACCCUGGUAGUCCACGCCGUAAACGGUGGGUACUAGGUGUGGGUUUCCUUCCUUGGGAUCCGUGCCGUAGCUAACGCAUUAAGUACCCCGCCUGGGGAGUACGGCCGCAAGGCUAAAACUCAAAGAAAUUGACGGGGGCCCGCACAAGCGGCGGAGCAUGUGGAUUAAUUCGAUGCAACGCGAAGAACCUUACCUGGGUUUGACAUGCACAGGACGCCGGCAGAGAUGUCGGUUCCCUUGUGGCCUGUGUGCAGGUGGUGCAUGGCUGUCGUCAGCUCGUGUCGUGAGAUGUUGGGUUAAGUCCCGCAACGAGCGCAACCCUUGUCUCAUGUUGCCAGCGGGUAAUGCCGGGGACUCGUGAGAGACUGCCGGGGUCAACUCGGAGGAAGGUGGGGAUGACGUCAAGUCAUCAUGCCCCUUAUGUCCAGGGCUUCACACAUGCUACAAUGGCCGGUACAAAGGGCUGCGAUGCCGCGAGGUUAAGCGAAUCCUUUUAAAGCCGGUCUCAGUUCGGAUCGGGGUCUGCAACUCGACCCCGUGAAGUCGGAGUCGCU
rnacentral:rRNA from 1 species